AGAGUUUGAUCCUGGCUCAGAUUGAACGCUGGCGGCAGGCUUAACACAUGCAAGUCGAACGGUAGCAGGAGGAAGCUUGCUUUCUUGCUGACGAGUGGCGGACGGGUGAGUAAUGCUUGGGAAUCUGGCUUAUGGAGGGGGAUAACUACUGGAAACGGUAGCUAAUACCGCGUAAUAUCGAGAGAUUAAAGGGUGGGACUUUCGGGCCACCUGCCAUAAGAUGAGCCCAAGUGGGAUUAGGUAGUUGGUGGGGUAAAGGCCUACCAAGCCUGCGAUCUCUAGCUGGUCUGAGAGGAUGGCCAGCCACACUGGAACUGAGACACGGUCCAGACUCCUACGGGAGGCAGCAGUGGGGAAUAUUGCACAAUGGGGGGAACCCUGAUGCAGCCAUGCCGCGUGAAUGAAGAAGGCCUUCGGGUUGUAAAGUUCUUUCGGUGAUGAGGAAGGUGUUUUGUUUAAUAGACAAGGCAAUUGACGUUAGUCACAGAAGAAGCACCGGCUAACUCCGUGCCAGCAGCCGCGGUAAUACGGAGGGUGCGAGCGUUAAUCGGAAUAACUGGGCGUAAAGGGCACGCAGGCGGAUUGUUAAGUGAGAUGUGAAAGCCCCGAGCUUAACUUGGGAAUUGCAUUUCAGACUGGCAGUCUAGAGUAUUUUAGGGAGGGGUAGAAUUCCACGUGUAGCGGUGAAAUGCGUAGAGAUGUGGAGGAAUACCGAAGGCGAAGGCAGCCCCUUGGGAAUAUACUGACGCUCAUGUGCGAAAGCGUGGGGAGCAAACAGGAUUAGAUACCCUGGUAGUCCACGCUGUAAACGAUGUUGAUUUGGGGAUUGGGCUUUAAGCUUGGUGCCCGUAGCUAACGUGAUAAAUCAACCGCCUGGGGGAGUACGGCCGCAAGGUUAAAACUCAAAGGAAUUGACG
rnacentral:rRNA from 1 species